rnacentral:rRNA from 1 species
AAUCAACGCUGGCGGCGUGCCUCAGACAUGCAAGUCGAACGAUUAAACUUUCCUUCGGGAAAGAUAUAAAGUGGCGCACGGGUGAGUAACACGUAAGUAAUCUACCUUCGAGUGGGGAAUAACAGUCGGAAACGACUGCUAAUACCGCAUAAUGCAGCGGCACCUAAUGGUGACAGUUGUUAAAGAUUUAUCGCUUGAAGAGGAGCUUGCGGCAGAUUAGCUAGUUGGUAAGGUAAUGGCUUACCAAGGCUACGAUCUGUAACCGGUCUAAGAGGACGGUCGGUCACACUGACACUGAAUAACGGGUCAGACUCCUACGGGAGGCAGCAGUCGGGAAUUUUGGGCAAUGGGCGAAAGCCUGACCCAGCAACGCCGCGUGAAGGAUGAAGUAUUUCGGUAUGUAAACUUCGAAAGAAUGGGAAGAAUCAAUGACGGUACCAUUUAUAAGCUCCGGCUAACUACGUGCCAGCCGCCGCCGUAAAAC